UCAGCAGCCGCGGUAAGACGAAGGACCCGAGCGUUAUCCGGAUUCAUUGGGUUUAAAGGGUGCGUAGGCGGACUUAUAAGUCAGUGGUGAAAUCUCCAGGCUCAACUUGGAAACUGCCAUUGAUACUGUUAGUCUUGAAUCUAGCUGAUGUGGGCGGAAUAUGACAUGUAGCGGUGAAAUGCUUAGAUAUGUCAUAGAACACCGAUUGCGAAGGCAGCUCACAAAACUAGUAUUGACGCUGAGGCACGAAAGUGCGGGGAUCAAACAGGAUUAGAUACCCUGGUAGUCCGCACCGUAAACGUUGAUUACUCGAUGUUGGCGAUAUACAGUCAGCGUCCAAGCGAAAGCGUUAAGUAAUCCACCUGGGGAGUACGAUCGCAAGAUUGAAACUCAAAGGAAUUGACGGGGGCCCGCACA
rnacentral:rRNA from 1 species